UACGUAGGGUGCAAGCGUUGUCCGGAAUCAUUGGGCGUAAAGAGCGUGUAGGCGGCUCGAUAAGUCCGCUGUAAAAGUCCAGGGCUCAACCCUGGGAUGCCGGUGGAAACUGUCGGGCUAGAGUCCGGAAGAGGCGAGUGGAAUUCCUGGUGUAGCGGUGAAAUGCGCAGAUAUCAGGAGGAACACCAAUGGCGAAGGCAGCUCGCUGGGACGGUACUGACGCUGAGACGCGAAAGCGUGGGGAGCAAACAGG
rnacentral:rRNA from 1 species